CCCCCCCCCCCGCCCCGCGCGUCGCAUCCACCCUCACCUGACGUGACCCAGCGCCCGGCGGCAGUGGCGGCCGCGACGCCCGGCCUCGGACGGGGGCGCCCUCCCAAGCUAGACGUCAUGCCGCACCGCUCCGAUCCGGACCUGGAUGUUGGACCAAUGUUGUCAGGCUUCCGCUGUUCUUAUCCUGUCACUGGAAGGAAGCGUCUGAAGUUGUUGGUGGCCGAGUCAUCGGAUAGUGAACCCCUUGUCUGUCCCGUGCCAGCAUGUGAUGAUUCAGGGGGGAACUUGUUUGACCGGUGCUCGGAGGGUCAUCAAGUGGCUUCCAGUAGUGGUGACCAAACACAGAACACUAGUGUGUUUCCUGCAAUGCAGGAAAAUGUCUGUUCCACAGCUAACAACGGUGUUGUUUAUCCAAAAUCUGGGCUCGGCAAUUCAGCUGGUCGAAAUGGAACACAUGUUGCCUACCUCCAACAUCAAUAUUUGGAAGGUUGCAUGUAUAUGAACGAGCAUGGGCAGAUGUGUGGACCUUACCCACCUGAACAGCUGUAUGAGGGGCUCUCUACUGGUUUCUUGCCUCAAAACCUUGCUAUCUAUGCUGUUUUUGGUGGGAAGACAGCCGAUCCUGUUCCCUUAAGCUUUCUGAAACAGUUUCUUUCACAAUGGAAUUUUGGUGCCACGGUUUCCACUCCAAAUGCAUCCAUGGAGACAAAGAAAGUUACUCCCCAUGCUAAAGCGAUUCUUCCAGAUGAUCUUUCAAGUGAAGAAUCAUGCUGGAUGUUUGAGGAUGCGGAAGGCUGCCGACACGGGCCACAUUCUCUUGCCGAACUUUCCUAUUGGCAUCACAAUAGCUAUAUCCAAGAUCUUUCAAUGGUUUACCAUGUUGAUGGCAAAUUUGGCCCAUUCACACUUGGAUCACUAAUUGGUUUGUGGAGUGGGGAACACACAGAGUGUUCGGAAGCUACAGCUAAUGUGUCUGCACCAUUAAAUGGCUUUGUGGUUGACAUAGUUGGUGAUGUCAGCCAUCAGCUGCAUGCAGGGAUAAUGAAAUCAGCUCGUAGGGUUUUAAUUGAUGAAAUAUUCAGCUGUGUACUUCCAGAUUUAAUUGCUUCCAAGAAGACUGAGAAGCAAUUGGCUGCAAAACUGAAGAACCAAGCUAUUAAGCCUGACAGUGUUAGCAACAGGAAGGUUUCCAAACUUAAUGUCAAAGUUAACAAACCAUAUGCUUCUCCAGAAAAAGGCAAUUCCGUGUAUAAUACAGCCCAAGUGGAUUCUUCAAUGGCCAUUCAAUCUACGGCAGUACAUGACAAAUUUGCCGAUAUACUGUCAGCAGUUUGGAAAACAAUUUAUUAUGAAUCCAUGAAGAAUAUAUGGGACGGAAUACUGUCUGACCCUGUUAUGGACUACUGUGAUGUAUGGUCACAGAGAAAUUGUCAUUUGAAUCAGCCCUCUACGAUUAUUUCUGUCACCACUGAUAAUAUAAAAGCCCAAGACAGUCAUGAAAUGCCAUCAAAGGACCCUGACGCUUGCAUGGAAUUUCCACCUGGAUUUGAACCGCGUGGGAAAUCUGCUGGGUGCUCCCUCUCUGCAUCCUCAUUAGAAGCCAAUGGAAGUGCCAAUGUUGAUAGGAAGUCUGAAUCAAGCACCACUUUAUUUUCUGGCCCCUUCGAAGUAGUCCAGAGGAUGCUGGCGAACGAACUAUAUAUCUCUUCAAAGCAAUCUUUGUUUCACUAUUUUGAGGAGGUAAUUGCAGAGGAGAUAACAAAUUGUUUAUGCUAUGGACUUGAAAGCGGUAUUGAUCAGGAACAAAUUGGUACGCCAAUUCAUGCACCGGAAUCACCCAUUUCAGCCGAAGCGUCUAUGCAGGAAACACUCAGUCCUGUUGAGUUGGUUGUAGGCGAAGAACUGGAUACUGUUGAAAUGGGUGCGGCCAGAAAAGGCAGUCCAAUUGAAACACAUGCAGAUGAAGGGCUGAAUACCAUUGAAGUGGCUGUAGAUGAAGAGCAGAAUAGUAGUGAAAUGGCUGCGGCUACUAGGACCAGCCCAAUUGAAACAACUUCAGAUGAACCAUGGAGUGCUGCUGAAAUGACAACAGAUAAAACGCUCAGUUCUCAUGGAGAAGAGUGCCUUCCCCUUGUGUCUUAUGCAAGGAUAUUUGAAAAGAUGGAUAUGUGUAUGACAGCAGAAUUGGAUGAGAGUUUUGAUGAAGUUCCUCCUGGAAUGGAGAUUGGCUUAGUUCCUUUACCACUUAAGGACAAAAACAUGUAUCAGCCUUUGAGGUCAAUGAAUUAUAUUCCUGUGAUUUCUAGAUAUAUGACAUUGGCUCUCUGCCGGCAAAGACUACACGAGAAUGUUGUGAGAGAGUGGACAUCUCUCUUCUCAGAUACAAUUAGCAAGUGCUUGGACUCAUGGUACACCAGGCAAAAUGCUGUACCUAAAAUUGCAGAUGGAUCAUCAAAACUCAAAGAAUAUACAUACUACAGGAAGAGGAAAUCCAAGAAAAUCUGUCAAACAACAUCAUCAAAAGAACAUUUGGAAAUUUCAAUGGAUGAGCAGCUCUCAAAACCUCUAUGUCAGCUUGUUGACCACAAGAUUUCUGUGAAAAAUAUCCAGGAAUCAAAGAAAGCUUCAACAUCAAAGAAAGUUUCAUUUGUGGACAAGCCCUCUAAAAAAAGAACCAAGACUCUGGCUAUGGCUAAUGAUGCUCAUGAUUUGAAUAUCCAGCAAGAUCUGAAACUCGUUUCCAGUGAGGUGCCAAAAAGAACCAGGUCAUCUCAUCCACCUAAGAAGCAAGUGGUUGCUAACAAAACACCUAUGGUGAAUGAUAAUGUCAUGACAAGUAUGCUCACGAAGCCUGUCAAGAAAAGAAAGGGCAAGAAAAUUUCAAGUGAGUCCAGUCAGACGGUAGAACCGGUGAUUCCAUGGCCUAAAUCAGAUGGUUGUGCUAGAGCUUCGAUUAAUGGAUGGGAGUGGCGUAAUUGGGCGCGGAAUGCUACUCCAUCAGAAAGGGCUCGUGUGAGAGGGUAUCGUGCCCGUACAAUUCUUUCUGCCUCAGAUAAUAAGGUGUGGAAAUUUCAAGUCAAGAGGGAUUCAUCUGCAAGAACAAAUCGGGUUAAGCUGCGGCGGCUGUUAAAAGCCUAUGAAGGUUCUGAGCUGCUGAAAAUUACCCAAAUGAAGGCAAGGAAAAAGCGGUUGCGUUUUCAGAGGAGCAAGAUCCAUGAAUGGGGACUGGUUGCCCUUGAGUUGAUCCAAGCAGAAGACUUUGUUAUCGAAUAUGUUGGUGACCUGAUUCGCAAGCGGGUCUCGGACAUACGUGAGUCUCAAUAUGAGAAGAGUGGGAUUGGAAGCAGCUACCUUUUUCGGUUGGAUGAUGAUUAUGUGGUCGAUGCUACAAAGCGUGGUGGCUUAGCAAGGUUCAUAAAUCAUUCCUGUGAACCAAAUUGCUAUACAAAAGUGAUAACUGUUGAUGGCCAGAAGAAGAUUUACAUUUAUGCAAAGAGGCGUAUAUAUGCUGGUGAGGAACUUACAUAUAAUUACAAGUUUCCGCUGGAGGAAAAGAAGAUCCCAUGCUAUUGUGGUUCCCGGAGGUGCCGUGGAUCAAUGAAUUAACAAUUACGUAAGGCCAUCCUUCGAGGGAUUAAACUAGAGUUGGUACAUAGGUGUGAUUGGUGGAUUAAACUGCAUUACAUUGAAAUUUUGGCAUAGAAGUGUCGAUCUCAGAUCUAUUUGGAAGGGUUUAUAUCAGUGUCAAAGUGUGGGGUUGUGGAACAUGCUGCACUGCAAGAAGAAACUGCGCAUUAUACUUAUUUAAGGCAGACUAGAUUAUUUCAAGGUAUCCCGAGGAUGGUGCAAGAGGCUGAUACAUGAUCAUGUCACCGCUGCCUUCUGGAGGUGGUAGACAUGAGAAAUUCAGUUGAGGAUGAGCUGAGCUAGUGAAUGGUUGCUUUCUGACAAGGUACAAAGCUGCAUAGACCUGUCGAAUCAUCCAUGAGGUACGCAUGUAGGCGUCCAAGAAUUUUCCAAAUGCGUGUGGUAUGUGUUCCAUCUCUUGAUUGGUUGUCCAUAUGCUCUCCUUCGUGCAUUUUGAUCUUAACAUUAGAGCCACUAACACUCACUCCGGUCACAAAUCCGGGCAAAGUUAUGAAACAUUGACCGUUAUAUUAUAAAUAUCUAGUUUAAAGACAAAAAUCACAUGUGUCGAUUUGUCUUGAAAAGAUGAUCUGUAAAUAUAUUAGAUUUUAUAGAUAUACCACCAUAGAAAAGUUUGGAGACAAUACGUGUAGAUGUGUCUUAAAAAGAUACUUUACUCAAAUUUAUAAGGUUUUGUGAUAUACUUUAAUAGAAAAAAAACACAAAGUAGUGGUCAAAAGCAAUAGACCGGAGAGCAUGUCAUGUCAUAUCACCUAGAUGCAGUAACAUUUUUCUAUACCAUUAAAGCACCAACAGUGCUUCUCUGAUUUUCACUGUUUCGUGUUAGCCACAGAAUUAGGUUCGGCAGCAUGCUUGCUCGGACGCAUGCAUGCAAAUGGAUCCACAAGCUUCAGUGUGGCAUUCGCUGAUGGAGCCCGUGCACGCUUGCUUGGUGUGUGCAUGAACUAGCCACGUACCAUAUGGCCAAGAUUUUGGUUGCCUACACAACAUGGCCAAAAAUGCAUGGGUUCUGAGCUUGUGAUGGAGGCAUCUCAAGUUCUUACCAUCCAAAUGUGUGAGAAGGUCUUAAGGUUAGCCAAAUCUAAACAAGUAAGCCUGCACGGGCUGAAGGCGAGAGUAAGACCAGCACAAAAAGAGGCAAGCAAAACACGGAUCGAAAAACGAGGUCGUACGUUUCUCUAUAGCAAUUGGGAGCAAACGAAAGGGAAGAUAUUGAUUGGCUUCGCUGUCUCUCUUGAAAGAUACGUGGAUUAGUAGGAUCACAAAUCUAAGCUCUUCAGACGUGGUGUAGCUUGCCAGACUCGUUGCUGAAGCUGAAAGUCCACCUCGUAGAGAACCCAGGCCCAUUUUCAUCGUUGACGUAGGAAGCACACCCGUACAGCACGCGCAUCGGUAGAGUAGUACUAUCGUUUUGUCUUUACUUUUGGAGAGGAGGUAGAGCAUAUAAGUAAUUCUUUCUACAUCUUUUGGUCGAUAGAGUAGUUCCCUGUUACUUGAAAUUGGAGUAAACUUUUGGGCCUGGGUCUGGACUAGGAAAGUAGGAAUUAUGAAUUUCUUCCUGGGCCUAGCUCUUUGAACACUAAAAAGAACACUGAACCGGUGGUGUACAGUAACAAAAGUGAGUGCAGUUCCACAUGAAGCUUAAAAAGUUAUCAUCUCCUAGAUGUUACCCUCUGGGUCAAAAUACUCCAUUUUCCAAAUGUGGGUCAUACUUUUGUCCCAAGUUAAACUUCUCUAACUUUGAUCAAAGUUAUAGAAGUUUAACUUGCAGUUUGGAACGGCGGGAGUAUUUGAUUUAGACAUCAACUGUCUUUGAUGGGUACCAUUGACCACUGUUUUUUUAAAAAAUAUGGUUUAUAAAAUUAUGUCAUUAUUGAAGUACUUUUCAAGAGAAUAUGCACAUAUGAUUCCGUGUUCCUAGGCUGAACAUUUUAAAAGUUAUUGUUAGUCAAAGUUUUCACAAGUUCGUGACCUGAGAAACUACUAUUAUUACUACUGCUUCUUUGCUAGCUAUGGAAACUCUUUGUUUCAAAUAGGCACGAGUUAGCAAAAUGCCAUAAAAAUAACUCGUUAGGGGUUGAGAUGUACCUUUAGCUAUUUGCUGUUGAAGUUGGUAAGAAUCCAACCCUGCCUGCCUAGGUGGCUAGGUGACUUGUCUCGUCGCUAGAUAGUUUAUCUCGUGGACAUUUUCAGUUUAUUCAGUACAACCGGCUACUAGAUGGAACUGUUUGCUUAUACAUCACUAUCAACGGCCUUGUGCUUUGUUGGAAGAGCAUAGGUAAGCUUGGUGUCAAUUUAACGGCUAAGGUAUACUUGUUUGUGAAUCGAUUUCUUAAAAUCAGCACUAAGCCUUGAUAACUCCAAAAAAGCAUUGUGUUCUAUGUUUUCUCUUUAGGAGUGUGGCUUUCUUUUAGUUAGUUUCAUCAUGUUGAUGGUGGUUAGCUCAACUCUGAGUGUAAAAGUAAAGGGUGUGGGCACUUUAUUUUCUCUCCUAAUCGUCGAACAGGAAUGUAGUGUAUGUAGAAAGGAUGCACAGUUGUGUGUUGCCUAAUUCUUGUAACAGUGUAACAUGUCAAGACCAAAUUCCAAUCAAGAGGCAAACAAUGCAUAUCAAAGUGUUCCUA